rnacentral:rRNA from 1 species
GCGCAGCAGUCGCGAAUCCUUCGCAAUGCAGGAAACUGCGACGAGGGAACUCCAAGUGCCUACGCUCAGCGUAGGCUGUUCUCAAGCCUAGAAAGCUUGAGGAGUAAGGGCUGGGUAAGACGGGUGCCAUCUGUGGUAGCAGUCAAUAGAUUCGAUUUGUUACUGCAAGGCAUAAGCCGCCGCGGUAAUACCCGCAGCCCAAGUGGUGGCCGCUUUUAUUGGGCCUAAAGCGUCCGUAGCCGGCCCGGUAAAUGCCUGGGUAAAUCGUGGAGCCCAACUUCACGAAUUCCGGGUAGACUGCCGAGCUCGGGACCGAAGAGGGAGAGGGUACUUCAGGGGUAGGGGUGAAAAUUUCCUUUCCAUUAACGCUUUGCGCGAAGGCGG